rnacentral:rRNA from 1 species
CCUACAUGAAGCUGGAGUUGCUAGUAAUCGCGAAUCAGCAUGUCGCGGUGAAUACGUUCCCGGGCCUUGUACACACCGCCCGUCACACCAUGAGAGUCGGGAACACCCGAAGUCCGUAGCCUAACCGCAAGGGGGGCGCGGCCGAAGGUGGGUUCGAUAAUUGGGGUGAAGUCGUAACAAGGUAGC